AUUGAACGCUGGCGGAAUGCUUUACACAUGCAAGUCGAACGGUAGAGGGGGCAACCCCUCGAGAGUGGCGAACGGGUGAGUAAUAUAUCGGAACGUGCCCAGUCGUGGGGGAUAACGUAGCGAAAGUUACGCUAAUACCGCAUACGAUCUAAGGAUGAAAGCGGGGGAUCGCAAGACCUCGCGCGAUUGGAGCGGCCGAUAUCAGAGUAGGUAGUUGGUGGGGUAAAGGCUCACCAAGCCAACGAUCUGUAGCUGGUCUGAGAGGACGACCAGCCACACUGGAACUGAGACACGGUCCAGACUCAUACGGGAGGCAGCAGUGGGGAAUUUUGGACCAUGGACGCAAGUCUGAUCCAGCCAUUCCGCGUGCAGGAUGCAGGCCCUCGGGUUGUAAACUGCUUGUGUACGGAACGAAAAGGUCUCUCUUAAUACGGGGGACUCAUGACGGUACCGUAAGAAUAAGCACCGGCUAACUACGUGCCAGCCGCCGCAGUAAAAC
rnacentral:rRNA from 1 species